rnacentral:rRNA from 4 species
AAAACUUUCAACAACGGAUCUCUUGGUUCUGGCAUCGAUGAAGAACGCAGCGAAAUGCGAUAAGUAAUGUGAAUUGCAGAAUUCAGUGAAUCAUCGAAUCUUUGAACGCACAUUGCGCCCUCUGGUAUUCCGGGGGGCAUGCCUGUUCGAGCGUCAUUGC